CCGUUGUCGUCUCUUUCUUAUUCAUGGAUAAAGUCCUCAUUUUCUUCAUCUAAUCAAGAUUUAAAUGCCUCCAUGCAUUCGGUUUCUAGCAAAGCUGGAUCUUCAGCGAUACCAAUUCUUCCCUUGCCAAGUUUACCUUAUUCCUCAUCUUCAAUUUUGGGGUCCACUACAUCUCCUUUAACUACAUUGCCUCCUCUGCUGACCCCUGAUCAGCUUACACAAUCUCGACCAACAGCAUCCUCCUCUAACCAGAGACUGAUCCCUGAGCGAGAAGACAUGGCAGCUGUAUUGUCACCAUCAUCAAACCCACCAUCGUCUGUUAGUUCACUGCCUCAGGAACCAUUGUUGCCAUUACGAUUGCUUUCCCAACAGGGUCAGGGUAGGGUGGCUCAGUUCACCGAAGAAUUUGAUUUUACGGCCAUGAAUGAGAAGUUUAACAAAGAUGAAGCUUGGGGGUCGCAUGGCAAGGUAAAACUAAGAAGGACAAAAGGAAAUGGAAUGGAAGAAAAUCCAAUUCACGAUAAUGUGGAGGUUGAAGAGGGUUAUGGACAAGAUCCCAAGCUUGGCCACAAAAUAGUCGGCACAAAUUUGACUGCAGCACAGUUCACAUCUCAUAUCCUGCCUAAGUUUCAGCUAGUGGUGCACGCGGUUCUGGGGUAACCUAAGAACUGAGGUGAACUGAACCGACUUCAUUGGUGGUUUAGAUUUUAACAUAGGUUGGUCCAACUCAAAGUCAAAGUGGUUGAUAACCUGAUCUAACCCGAACCACAUGAAUCAAUAUUUAUAUAUUAUUAAUUUUGUAUGGCGUAUUAAAUCAGCUAUCAUAGAUUAUGAUAAUUUUUGUUUUCUUAAACAAAAUAUUGGAUUUUUUUUUUUGUUUUGUUAACAUAUCAUGUACAAGAUUUAUAGUUUAUUUUUUGGAUUUUGUUGUUGUAUGAGGUUGUUGAAUAUAUUUGUUGUUGGUUUAUUUUGUUCACUGGUUUAAAUGGGUUUUCUUGAAAGAAAAGAAUCAAUAGAUUCUUAUGCUGAUUUUUUAAAGAAAAUUGGGAAGUUUUAGGGCCAAUCUUAUCUUAGUCCAUUGGUUUAGUUUCUUUCCACCGUUGAUUGGUUGGCAUUGAAAUUACAAAAACUGAGAUCUUAUUGAAAUUGGUUUUGUUCUGGAUUGGUCCCCAACCUGAACUGACCUGAACCUCUUGUAUAAGCUUGUUUCAGCACUCUGCAAUGUUACCCAUGCUGCUGCUUGAUGAAGCUCUUAAUUAAUUAUGUACCCCCCAAAAAAGCUCUUGAUUGAUUAGUGGUUUGAAUAUUGAUAACUAUGUGGGCCAAACUGUAGAAUAUACUGUAGGAAAUGACCUAGAGGCAGAAAACAUGCUUGUUAAUGAGCAAUCGCUAGCUUUCUGGGGAUGAUAAGAUUUCAGUUCUUAAAUAGGGUCAAGCAUUUAGCUUCUGCUUUGACUUGAAGCAAUUCAAUUACAACUUUAUUGAUGUCCUGUUUUGCAGCCUGUAUAUAAUAAAGAUGACUUCUUUGACAAUCUUUCUUGCAACUCACUUAACCGAGGAUCAUGGAGUGGCCGUAUGAAGUUCUCUGAGCGAAUGAAAUUAGAUACAGAGACUUUUGGUGAGUUCCAGCAGGGGACUCCUUUGGGUCGUGGCAACCAUGGGCCUGCUCAUCCUGGUAACUUCAGGGGAUCAGACAACCGAGGAAGAGGUUAUGGAUAUUAUGGUGGGAGGGGGCAUGGGGGUUACAGGCUUGUCUAGGAGCUUUUGUAUGUUCAAUUUCCCUAGGAUUUGUGCUUUUGCUAGUGUACUCAUAUCAGUCCUGCUAUUCGACCCUCUUCGUCUGUGGCGGAUGUCAAAGCCUCUUUCCUGCCCGCAUCAAGUCAUAGCCUCAUAGGCUUCCCUCUUUGUAUUUAGGAGGCAUACCAUGACUCUCCUUACGUGGUUUCAAGUUACUUGAAAUAGAGAACUGUCAAUGUACUUACAACGUGUGCAUCUUUCAAUUGGUGAGAAAAGUUGAUCAAUGAACUUUUAUAUGUUAUAUGAACGACUUGUUAAUUAUGGUUAUUAUUGAUGCUUAGCCUGUAAAAUCUGUUUUUAAUUAUUAGAAAAUAGAAUUUGGAUUUUGUUUAAGAUGAUGCCAGCUGAAAUAGAUGUGGCAAAUAGGACAGAGAUAUACUAAAAGAAGGUUAGGAGGCACCAAGGACCUUUAUACACAAAGUGUCCAAAUAUAUUUUAGUAAGAACAAAGACAAGUGAAUGCAGGAAGGGUUUUUAGGUAAUCCGUUUCAGAAGGUUCUUAAAAAAAAAAAAAUUAUGACCAGUGUCGAAAGAUGGUUAAUAUAUCAGACCAUACUGAUGGAAUGAGGCUUCUGGCUUGUCCUUAUGAUUAUUAGGGGUGAAGAUGCCAUCCGAAUUUUAGGCUGAUUGGUACGUCAAAAUAGAAAGCAGAUGCUGGGACAACUCCAAGUCUCCAAGUCCAUAUUUCGACUUAAAAUUGCAUGUCAAGGAAUCAGCUGGUGAAGUCAUGGUACCC